rnacentral:rRNA from 1 species
CUACGCACUCCUACGGGAGGCAGCAGUGGGGAAUAUUGCACAAUGGGCGCAAGCCUGAUGCAGCCAUGCCGCGUGUAUGAAGAAGGCCUUCGGGUUGUAAAGUACUUUCAGCAGUGAGGAAGGUGGAUAUGUUAAUAGCAUAUUCAUUUGACGUUAGCUGCAGAAGAAGCACCGGCUAACUCCGUGCCAGCAGCCGCGGUAAUACGGAGGGUGCGAGCGUUAAUCGGAAUUACUGGGCGUAAAGCGCAUGCAGGUGGUUUGUUAAGUCAGAUGUGAAAGCCCGGGGCUCAACCUCGGAAUUGCAUUUGAAACUGGCAAACUAGAGUACUGUAGAGGGGGUAGAAUUUCAGGUGUAGCGGUGAAAUGCGUAGAGAUCUGAAGGAAUACCGGUGGCGAAGGCGGCCCCCUGGACAGAUACUGACACUCAGAUGCGAAAGCGUGGGGAGCAAACAGGAUUAGAUCCCUGGUAG